rnacentral:lncRNA from 1 species
AGGAUCCUCAUGGCCUCUAGUUUGGCCAUUCAGUCUUUCCAGGACUCACGAAUAGGUCUAGAUCUGCAGUUUGAAAAAUACUGAACUGUGUCUGAUGCUGUCACCACCGGGUUAAGAUGAAACUGCUUGCUCCAGAGGACUAACGACAGGUUAAAUACUGGCCAGAGCAGAUGACAUGAGAUGCCUACUUUUGGAUGGAAACACCUUGCAUGAUCUCUGCUUCUUCAUUCCUGUAAUUGUUUUAAACAGUACUCAUGGAAGAAAACUCAGGACCAUUUUUGUUAGUGGCUAACAAAUUGUUACAGCCUUUAUCAUAGUGUAAGCAUUCUGCAAACUCAGAGACUUUGCAUCUGGAGAUCUGCUACUACGAUGCAACAUUCAGUGUCUUUCAAAAUGGAACCUGGCAUAUCACCUUUUUGUUUGAUAUUUUCCCCACUCUUCAUCUCACUUAUCCUCCUUUUCUUUCAUUCCCGUCUACAUACAAACUUCAUGAGAGAACAGUUUUCUCUUUGGAAGAAUCUAACUUAGAUAUUUUGUGCUAUCAUAUGGACAGAAGGGCUAAAACUCUUCUUUAGUGGCUAGUCAAUAAUCGCAAAGCCAGGAUCACAAUUUCCUCCCAGUUUUCCACUCAGUCCUGACUUUGCUCAGCUGGAGUAUUUGCUAAUGAAUAGACUCUGCUUUCCUCAUUCAGAAAGUACACGGCUUUUGUCAUUGGCA